rnacentral:tRNA from 3 species
GGAGAGGUGGCCGAGCUGGUCGAAGGCGCGCCCCUGCUAAGGGCGUAUACCCGUUAAACGGUAUCGAGGGUUCGAAUCCCUUCCUCUCCGCCA